rnacentral:rRNA from 1 species
UACGUAGGGGGCGAGCGUUAUCCGGAUUUACUGGGUGUAAAGGGAGCGUAGACGGUUCUGCAAGUCUGAAGUGAAAGCCCGUGGCUUAACCGCGGAACGGCUUUGGAAACUGUGGAACUGGAGUGCUGGAGAGGCAAGCGGAAUUCCUAGUGUAGCGGUGAAAUGCGUAGAUAUAAGGAAGAACACCAGUGGCGAAGGCGGAUGACUGGACGGCAACUGACGGUGAGGCGCGAAAGCGUGGGGAGCAAACAGG